GACGAACGCUGGCGGCGUGCCUAAUACAUGCAAGUAGAACGCCGAAGGAGGAGCUUGCUUGUCUGGAUGAGUUGCGAACGGGUGAGUAACGCGUAGGUAACCUGCCUGGUAGCGGGGGAUAACUAUUGGAAACGAUAGCUAAUACCGCAUAAUAGCAGUUGUUGCAUGACAACUGUUUGAAAGGUGCAAUUGCACCACUACCAGAUGGACCUGCGUUGUAUUAGCUAGUUGGUGGGGUAACGGCUCACCAAGGCGACGAUACAUAGCCGACCCGAGAGGGUGAUCGGCCACACUGGGACUGAGACACGGCCCAGACUCCUACGGGAGGCAGCAGUAGGGAAUCUUCGGCAAUGGACGGAAGUCUGACCGAGCAACGCCGCGUGAGUGAAGAAGGUUUUCGGAUCGUAAAGCUCUGUUGUAAGAGAAGAACGAGUGUGAGAGUGGAAAGUUCACACUGUGACGGUAUCUUACCAGAAAGGGACGGCUAACUACGUG
rnacentral:rRNA from 1 species